GUGCUUGCUCAGGCAGCACAUAUGAAAAAUUGGAAUCGAUACAGAGAAGAUUAGCAUGGCCCUGCGAAAGGAUGACACGCAAUUUCGUGAAGCGUUUCCACAUUUU
rnacentral:snRNA from 1 species